UGAGUCCUGAGGUGUUUGCCAGUCAUCGUCCUUGAGCCGAUAUUACAACUUCCGGAGGUUUCUCGUGCUUGUUGGUGUGCAUGUCCGUACUACGGAAAGCCUAAUGCUUGCCAGAGACCACCACUUGAACUUCACGGUUCAAGGCCAUUAUGACAGCGGCAUUCUUGGGAUACUU
rnacentral:other from 1 species